rnacentral:lncRNA from 1 species
AGCCUCUGGCAGCAGUCAGGGGAGAUGAGGCGUUAGUGAGACGUAAUCCACAAAGGGAAAAUGUGGGAGAAUUGGACUUGUAAGCAGAGAACAUUAUCCAGAGAUGGAAAAGUCUGAAGGAAUCACCUAAAGCAGUACUACAGGUUGGGGAAGAAGGCCACAUGGGACAGAACAGCUGAGAUGGAAACAACCCAUAAGCAUCACCUUAGAGUGAAAGCUUGCAGCACCAAAUAUGCUGUUUUGAAGGCGCCUGGGAAUGAAAAACCAUGACGGGAGAUUAUAAAGACCAGAGGAUUAGUGACAAUGCCUAGCAGAG